ACAAAGUUUGAAGUUCCUAGGCCUAAGCGUUUUUAGUUAAUUGAUCGGAAACCGUUUUUACCUACAAGGUCAAUGUGACCUUGACCUUUGACCCCUUGACCCAAAAUCAAUAGGGGUCAUCUGCUGGUCAUGACCAAUCACCAUGCCAAGUUUGAAGUUCCUAGGCCGAAGCGUUCUUUAGUUAUUGAUCAGAAACCGUUUUUACUUACAAUGUCAAUGUGACCUUGACUUUUGACCCC